rnacentral:lncRNA from 1 species
CAUGAGGGUUCUCUUUUUUCCAACCUUCUCUCAUUGCACCAUAAGUGAUGUUGCCCAUACUUUUGGUCUUCAUUUGUAACCUAACUGACUCCUUCAAAUUUGUCACUUCUUCCAUCAUCACAGGUUGCUUCUCAGGUUCUACAGUCUCAGCAUUGAUGACCUCCACCCCACUGAUGGCCAUGGAACUCACCACUGCCAACUUUCAUUGGCCAAAGAUCAUACCCGCACAGCAGCAUGGUGGUGCCACUCCAUUCUCUUCAUGUGAAGAAACCGAGGCACAGAGAAGCAGGGUGGCUUAUCUUUGGUCUCACAGCUUGGACUUGGUUUCAGAGCAUGUUCAUGCAAACUCGACAAUGCAACCCUCUGGUGGCACUUGGUGGCAGGAAACAGACUGCAUCUCCCAGGAAAUGGAAGCAGCCAGGAGGAGCAGCCAGCAGUCCCCAUCUUCCUGGGGCAGACAGCAUCCUCAGUGCAAAAGUCACUGAGAGCUGGGGCCUCUGGUCCCCAGUGGUCCCACUGCCCUUGGCCUCCUGCCUCCCCUUCCUGUUUGUUGGUCCCGGAGACCUGAAAAUGCAUCAGGAGAGUGGGGAAGACGUAUCUGGGGAGACUGAAAUUUGGAGCUCUCUGGGCUCCGUGGCACAUGUGGCUGGAUCACUUCAUAGCUCCUGGUCCUCUCCUUCUGAGACCCAUGCCCAAGGCCUGUGGGUGGCCCAGGAGGACAAUGGGCCCUUCAGAGUUGGGGGAAGGGCCCUUUCAUGCCCUCUGGGACCCCUGUCUUUUGAGGAACCCUCCUUGACCUUGAGUUGGAGAUUGUGGGAGGAUCUGAGGUGUGACAUAGCCCUGACGCUGCUCGGAAGCUGCCUGGGGAGGCCCAGGGCUCAGUGUGAGUCAGUUGGGCAGUGACCCUCUCCUGGCAGCUCAUGGGGAGAGCACCCUGUCCCCAGGUGACCAUGUCCAGCACUGCCCGCUUGCUUCCAAAGCUGAGCACAGUUUCUGGCACAUAACAAGAAACCAACAAAGGAUUUCGGGAGAAAUCAGCCUUACAAGAAACAGGGUGCUCUUCCUGCACCUCAGCUCCCACAGAGGACACAGCGCGCCUCCAAGAACACUACUCAAAGUGUAGUCCCCAGAGCAGCAGCCUGGGCCUCACCUGAGCGCUUGCUAGAAAUGCAGAUUCCCCGACUUCCUCCUGGACCUGCUGCUUCCCAAGUCCUGAAGGGCAGGCCGGGUAAUCUGUGCUUUACUAAGCCCUCUGGAUGACUGUGUGAAUUGGACACAGGGACCAGCUUGAGAGCCCCUCUGUCAAGAAAGCAGGAUCACCUGGGUACGCUGUGUAUUGGGGUGCACAUUACAGAGCCUUGUACAAAUACCCAGCUUCCACGUUGCCCAGCAAAUGGGCUCAGCCAUUGUCCACUCCUGCCUGGAGGUGAUUUGGCAGAAGGCAGAGCACUGAUUUCACUUCCUGGCUGGUUUGCUCUCCAUGGGCGGAUCCACCAGCCCUGCUCCUCUCCCCAGCCUCAGUUCUAAAGGGGGAGAAGCCUGACAUCUGCACCCACAGGGAGACAGAUCCACUGCUCUCCUGCUUACUGACCCCCACCUGCCUGGGGACAGACUUGCCAGGACUUGGGCUCCUGCCUGGUCCCCCUCCCCAGGCUAGGCUCACUGUGCAUCUGUGCACCUGAGCAGGUUGCCUUGCCUCUCACCUUUGCAGGGUCUUUAUGGAGAGGCUGACUCUGGCACAAGCUACCGUGUGCUCCCUCUUUCUCCUCCUCUGCUCCUCCUCAUCUUCCUUCUCUUUCUGCUCUUCCUCUUCUUCCUCUUUUUUUCCUCCUCCUCCUUCCUCUCCCUCUUUCCCUUCCUCUUUUCUUCCUUUCCCCCUCCACUUCUUCUUACUCUUUGUGGUGCUGGGGAUUGAAACCGGGCUUUUGAUCUGGAUUACAUCUCUAGCCCCUUAGCCCCUUUUUAUUUUUUACUUUGAAGCAGAGUCUUGCUAAGUUGCCCAGGCUGGGCUCAAAUUUUCAAUUCUCCUUUCUCAGUCUUCCCGGAUGUUGGGAUUACAGGCACACACUACCUUGCUGAGCCCCUUUUUGAGGCAGGGUCUCACUGAAUCACUAAGUUCCCCAGGCAGGGCUUGAACUCAGCAUCUUCUUGCCUUGGCCUCCCAGAGUGCUCUCUUGGUUCUUCAGCUGUAUUUGCACCACUGUGGGGCCUCAGCCAGUCACACCCUCCAGCCUGUGCAAUUCACAUCCAGCAAAGCCCACUGUGGGUUAAGUGCCCAAUGUGACCACACUGCCUUUCUGUUAUCCAGUCCAGAUGUGGAGAGUUGUGGGAGACAGCUGCUAACUCCACUCAGUUUCUCUUGAGGUCUUUUUUACACUCUCACUGCAUCCUGGGAAAUGAGGGGCCCUGUUUCCUGAAAGAAGGGAGGCGCCUGUAGUCUUCCAACCUGAGAAAUGUGAGCUUCCCAGGCCAUGGCCACAAAGCUCCACAAACCACGUAGCUUCCACACUGGUUGUUUGUUCUCUCCUGUCCUGAAGAUGAUUUGUCUGAAGUACAAGUGUGGGCAUGGCUGGCUCCUCCUGCAGGCUUGAGGGACAGUCUGUUCCAGAGCUCUGCCCCAGAUGCUGGUGGCCGAUGGCCAUGUCCACCCUUGAAGUGUGCCUCAGCUCUCCCUUUUCUGACAAGGACACCUGCUAUCAGCUUUAGGGGCCACCCUAAAUCCAGGACAACCUCACCCCAAGAUCCUCCACAUAAUCUUAUUCCCAAGGAUCUUGUCUCCAAGUCAGGCCACAUCUAGGUGUAGGGGUGGUGGGAGGGGAAGGGGAAAAGGAAGAAGGGAAAGGAAAAAUUAUGAGAAAAGAAAAAAAAUGGAAACAAAGUCUAUGUAAAUAGUGAAGGGUGGAGGGGGUGAAGGGCACACAGGUAAUGGGGGAAAAAAUAAGAACUAAGAUAUAUCAUGUACAGGUACAAGCACCCAAUGAUAAAUGUAAACGUAUUAUAUACCUAAAAUGUACCAAUAAAAGAAUUUUUUUUAAAAAGUGAGAAAGGAAGGCCCAUUCUCA